UUACUUUAAAGUUUUAUUCUUGAUUGCUCAGGACCAAAGAAAAGAAGAAGAAAGUUUUGUUUUUAUAUUCGUUGGAGGAAGCAAAGAAAGUUUUCAUAGAAUUUGCAGCAGAUGGCCUGGUGGGCGGUUGAGGAAGCCAAGACGGAUCGCACAUAGUCUCUAGAUAAAAUCAAAGAAAAAAAGGUCUUUGAGUGCUCGUCGUUUUUUCAAGGGCCUCCAUCACAUGGAGAGGCGAAUGAAGAACAUGCGUGGUCGGCCGUGGCUUCUUCCGAUGCUGGACGUCAUGUGAGCAGUGCAGAGGGCACAAGUCUCCUCUCGUCCGUAUACUCUUUGAUCGACGUGCAUGUAGCAGCCGGAGGUAUGCACAGAUCGGCUGAAAAAUUGAACUGUGGUGAUG
rnacentral:lncRNA from 1 species